CAACGGACAGUCCGACCCGACUAUUGAACCGGAAUUCUUGCAAACGUUGCGACGACAAUGCCCGCAAGGCGGAAGUCUCACCGCGAGGGUCAAUCUUGAUGAUACGAGCCCUGACUCAUUUGAUAAUGACUAUUUCAAGAACCUUCAAAACAACCGUGGGGUCAUUGAAUCAGAUCAAAUCUUGUUCUCUUCCACAGGAUCACCUACUGUAUCGUUGGUGAAUCGUUUCGCGGAGAACCAAAAUGAGUUCUUUGGAAAUUUUGCGAGAUCGAUGAUCAAGAUGGGAAAUGUAAAGGUUCUCACGGGAACUGAAGGAGAGAUCCGUAGAGACUGCAGACGGGUCAACUAAUACGGUUUUGCAUAUAAUGGCAUGUUCAGACUUUGUUAUUAUUCAUGAAAUAAUUAAGUGGUAUUUAUUUGUGCUUUUCCAUAAAUGUUUUAUAUUCCGUUUAUUUCGUUUUACUAUUAAGGCUAAACAUGCCACUGUUAUUCAUUUGUAAUUGUAAAUCAUAAAUACACACGUACUUAUUAGAAAAGCUUCACGUUCUUUCUAUUGUAGCCUGUACAUUUACCUUCUAAAACAAAAUAAUUUAUAGCUUCUGAGUUCUGAUAGCCACAUUACAAUUUUAUAACACACUAUCUAACAAUUUAUAUUUCAAAAUCACAUAAUUGAAACUUAAGCAAGAAAAAAAUGCAGAAAACAUAGAAGCUUGAAUGCAUUAUAUAUUGUUGUAGUAGUAAUAGUAUGAAUAAUUCACUUUAGUUAUUGUAGUUAACAAAAUUAAAGAUUAAUGAAAGUAAAUUGUGUUUAAAAAAAAGUAUUCUGGACUACACUUUUCAUACUUGGUAACGUUUUUUGAUUAUGUAUUUUUUUUUCCUUUUUUGUAAUUUCUUUUUGCUAAGUAGAAUAUGUAUUAAGUGAAUACAAUGUUAGGCGUUGGUUAUACGUCUUAUAGAAUAUUAUUGUUUCGACGGAUAUCUAGACCGAUUUUUUCUUGUUUAGACUGAUUUUUUUUAAAAAAAAAAUCAAUUUGAAGAAAUCGUCUUGCUCAUAUCUGAUUUACUGACUAGGUGAAUAUGUAAGCGGCAGUCUAUUUUUAGAACACUGCUUGCAUAUAAUAACCACUUAUCCCCCUUGCCAUAUCUCUGAUCACAUGUUUCCAUUAUUUUAUUAAACCAGUGAUGGCUUAACAACUCACAGCUUAGGUUCCAUUAGACCGAUUCAAUGUUUCUAUUAUUUUAUUACAUUUAUUACGUACACCAAUGAUGAUUCAACUCCAUCGUAUAUUGGAUUAGACCGAUUAAACGGCAUACCAGAUCUCAAUUCAUAUACGGAAGAAAUAGAACGUUUUUAUGUGGCGUGAGCCGCCGAGUGAAAGAUUCAACCAUUCCUACAUGAGUGAGUAAACAUUUAACAUUCACAUGAUUCUUAUAUGCAUUAAUAAUCGUCAUCUUGAUGUUUUUGCUUUGAUACUGAAUACUAAUUUUACUUCAUCGAUUUUAAAACAUAAAAAUAAAGAAAAAAACCGUAACUAACAAGGUCAAAACACAUUACACAUGUACGUUCGUUGAUUAUAUAUACCUAAUUAUCGUCAAGUCAAUUGUUAUGUGCCGUUACUCAGUUUUUCGUCUAUUUUUAGCCAUCCUUAGUUAUUUUUCAUGACGUACAUUGAUAUGACCCUUUUAUUGACCUGCCCUAAGGCCAGCAGCCGUCGCUCAACAAUAAUCUAUGUAUAUAUCUUUAUAUUUUAUUUUAUGUUUCAAGAAAAAAAUAUAUUUUAUUUGUGUUUUUCAAAAGCUUCAAUUUUUAAUCAAAAUAUUUCAAAUAAGAGAUUUUAACGUAGGCUUUUCAAACUUUAAAAACCUCACAAAUAAUGGUGUCACAUUUUCAAAGAUUCAAUUUGAUAUACUUUGUUCUCAAAUAUUUUUUUGAUAUACUCAAAUUCGUUGUAUUUGUAUACUUUACAACUGCACCAAAUCGUAGUCAGAGAUGCUAAUCAUUAUAUUUUAUUAUGUGUCACAAAAUAAAAUUAGAAGUCUAUACCGCACUGAAAUGUUUUGUAACUUUCCUAGAAUAUGUAUAAAUUUUCUUCCAUCGUUAGGUAUAAGCUCUUUAUAAAAGGCGUCACUCUUUGAUCAAUGAUCAAUCCACAAUAUCCUCUAAGCUUAUUCUUUCUAUCGCUCAGUUUGACUAAUUAACAUAGAGCGACAGAAGAAUGGGUCUAAGCAAUAUUACUAUCCCCUUACUUUUGCUCUCGCUUUUGAUGUUUGGUAUUUUGGGUAAUGCUCAACUUAGCUCCGAUUUUUACUCCGAGAGCUGUCCUAAUGUCACAAUCAUCGCUCGGCGUCUGAUCCAACGAGCUGGCCGUAGCGACGUUAGACUCACUGCUAAAGUCAUGCGUCUUCACUUUCACGACUGUUUUGUGAACGUAAGAUCUAUUUCUAUUCAUUAGCAUAUAUAUACUGCUAAAGUCAUGCGUCUUUCACGACUUUCACUGCUAUGUGAUUUUUUUUUUUUGUUUAACAAAAGACCUAGCAAUCGAUAUAAUGUGCAUGUGAUCUUGAGAUUCAUGUUGAGGCUAAACCCUGUGUGCAGCUUUAUGAUCGUUGUAAAGGGGUUUGGUGGACUUUAAACAGAAGUAAAAUUGAAAUUUAGAGUUUGCAUCGUACCAAUCUUCCUAAAAUUCGAAUGACAUAUUAUUAGGACGAGUUAUGUUGAGCUGUUUUCCAAAGAUCAAAUCUAAAAUUUGAUGUUUGAUCAUAAGUUUGACGAUAUAAUCGGUACAUUGACCUUAGUUUCAUUAAUUGUGAGUAUCGGUCUUCCUAAACCCAAAAUUAAAAUGUCUUUUUGUUUCUUUUACUUUAAUCAUUAAGCAAGAAAAGUAUAGACUAGACUUUAAUUUGUCAAAAAACAUAAUUAUGAUUAUUUUGAUAAUGUAAUUAGAUCAUUUGAAAAAUAAAAUAUGCAUAAAACAUUGACCUCGUGAAACACAGGGCUGCGAUGGUUCGGUACUAUUGGACGCUGCUCCUGUGGAUGGAGUAGAGGGUGAAAAGGAAGCUUUCCAAAACGCUGGUUCUCUUGACGGUUUCGAAGUGAUCGAUGAUAUCAAAACCGCACUGGAGAAUGUAUGCCCUGGAGUCGUCUCUUGUGCCGAUAUCCUCGCUAUCGCAGCUGAAAUCUCUGUCUCACUGGUAAUAAAAUAACUCUUUGAAAAUUUUAUGUUGUAGCUAAAUUCUAUGAAACAUGAGCAGGAUAUAUAACUUAGUGGUUGAACUAGUGUUAAAAUACUAUGAAGACACUAUAUUGUAUAUUAUAUAUAUAUUUUUUAAAGAAAAUUAUAUUUGUAUCCUUUAAGGCGGGAGGGCCGUCAUGGGACGUAUUGUUAGGAAGAAGAGAUGGUCGCACGGCUAACCGUGGGGACGCCGUGGCUGCACUUCCACUAGGACCUGACUCGAUGGAGAUACUUACUUCUAAAUUCUCCGUACAUAAUCUUGACACUACCGAUCUUGUCGCUUUAUCUGGUAAUCUUUACAUUCCCGUCUUGAAUCUUCGUUCGAGACCAAAAAAUAUUGGUCAUCUUGCAGAAGUAUGAUUAAACUUUUGACCAGGGAUCUCAAUAGUACUUUGUUUCAAUAUUAUCAAUACGAAUUAUGAAUCAUAAUAAAUGUACAGGUGCUCAUACCUUCGGGAGGGUUCAAUGUGGAGUAAUAACAAAUCGUCUACACAAUUUUACUGGUAGCAAUGGGCAGUCUGAUCCUAGCAUUGAACCAAAAUUCUUAAGAACACUGCGAAAAAAAUGUCCGCAAGGCAGAAGUCUCACUGCGAGGGUCAAUCUUGAUCCUACAAGCCCUGACUCAUUUGAUAACGACUAUUUCAAGAACCUUCAAAACAACCGUGGAGUCAUUGAAUCAGAUCAAAUCUUGUUCUCUUCGAAAGGAGCACCUACUGUGUCUUUGGUGAAUCGUUUUGCAAAGAGCCUACGUAAAUUCUAUAAAGCUUUUGCGAAAUCAAUGAUCAAGAUGGGC
rnacentral:lncRNA from 1 species